GACGAACGCUGGCGGCGUGCUUAACACAUGCAAGUCGAACGGAAAGGCCCUGCUUUUGUGGGGUGCUCGAGUGGCGAACGGGUAAGUAACACGUGAGUAACCUGCCCUUGACUUUGGGGUAACUUCAGGACACUGGGGCUAAUACCGGCUAGGAGCUCCUGCUGCAUGGUGGGGGUUGGAAAGUUUCGGCGGUUGGGGAUGGACUCGCGGCUUAUCAGCUUGUUGGUGGGGUAGUGGCUUACCAAGGCUUGGACGGGUAGCAGGCCUGGGAGGGUGACCGGCCACAUUGGGACUGAGAUACGGCCCAGACUCCUACGGGAGGCAGCAGUGGGGAAUAGUGCACAAUGGGCGGAAGCCUGAUGCAGCAACGCCGCGUGCGGGAUGACGGCCUUCGGGUUGUAAACCGCUUUCGCCUGUGACGAAGCGUGAGUGACGGUAAUGGGUAAAGAAGCACCGGCUAACUACGUG
rnacentral:rRNA from 1 species